rnacentral:rRNA from 1 species
CUUUGACCUCAAAUCAGGUAGGACUACCCGCUGAACUUAAGCAUAUCAAUAAGCGGAGGAAAAGAAACCAACAGGGAUUGCCUUAGUAGCGGCGAGUGAAGCGGCAAAAGCUCAAAUUUGAAAUCUGGCUCUUUCAGAGUCCGAGUUGUAAUUUGAAGAAGGUAUCUUUGGGUCUGGCUCUUGUCUAUGUUUCUUGGAACAGAACGUCACAGAGGGUGAGAAUCCCGUGCGAUGAGAUGAUCCAGGCCUAUGUAAAGUUCCUUCGAAGAGUCGAGUUGUUUGGGAAUGCAGCUCUAAGUGGGUGGUAAAUUCCAUCUAAAGCUAAAUAUUGGCGAGAGACCGAUAGCGAACAAGUACAGUGAUGGAAAGAUGAAAAGAACUUUGAAAAGAGAGUGAAAAAGUACGUGAAAUUGUUGAAAGGGAAGGGCUUGAGAUCAGACUUGGUAUUUUGUAUGUUACUUCUUCGGGGGUGGCCUCUACAGUUUAUCGGGCCAGCAUCAGUUUGGGCGGUAGGAGAAUUGCGUUGGAAUGUGGCACGGCUUCGGUUGUGUGUUAUAGCCUUCGUCGAUACUGCCAGCCUAGACUGA